rnacentral:rRNA from 1 species
UGCAGUCGAGCGACGGACGAGAAGCUUGCUUCUCUGAUGUUAGCGGCGGACGGGUGAGUAACACGUGGAUAACCUACCUAUAAGACUGGGAUAACUUCGGGAAACCGGAGCUAAUACCGGAUAAUAUUUUGAACCGCAGGGUUCAAAAGUGAAAGACGGUCUUGCUGUCACUUAUAGAUGGAUCCGCGCUGCAUUAGCUAGUUGGUAAGGUAACGGCUUACCAAGGCAACGAUGCAUAGCCGACCUGAGAGGGUGAUCGGCCACACUGGAACUGAAACACGGUCCAAACUCCUACGGGAGGCAGCAGUAGGGAAUCUUCCGCAAUGGGCGAAAGCCUGACGGAGCAACGCCGCGUGAGUGAUGAAGGUCUUCGGAUCGUAAAACUCUGUUAUUAGGGAAGAACAUAUGUGUAAGUAACUGUGCACAUCUUGACGGUACCUAAUCAGAAAGCCACGGCUAACUACGUGCCAGCAGCCGCGGUAAUACGUAGGUGGCAAGCGUUAUCCGGAAUUAUUGGGCGUAAAGCGCGCGUAGGCGGUUUUUUAAGUCUGAUGUGAAAGCCC